AUGGAGAAAGCUUCAGAGCUAGUCGUCAUCCCAUCCGCCGGCAUCGGCCAUCUCGUCUCCGCCGUCGAGAUGUCGAAGCUCCUUGUUGCCCGCCAUGACCAACUUUUCAUCACUGUCCUCAUCAUGAAGCUACCCUUCAACUCCAAGGGCACAGAGGCCUACAUAGCCUCCCUCGAAGCCUCUCCCGUAUUGCCACGUGUCAACUUCAUCACCCUCCCAAAAGUCCCAGACCUAGACAAGCACCUCAGCUCCCACUCCUUCCGCAACCAGUUCGUCGAAAGCCACAAAACCCACGUCAAAAACGCGGUCGCCGAACUCACCGAGUCACAGUCCGAGUCAAGGCCUCGGCUUGCUGGUUCGUCAUCGACAUGUUUUGCACAACAAUGAUCGAUGUGGCGGAUGAUUUUGGGGUUCCUACGUACAUGUUCUUCACUUCACCUGCUGGGUUUCUUGGGCUACUGUUCAACCUACAAAGAAUUCGCGAUGUGUAUGGAAAGGACGUCAGUGAGUUCAAAGACUCGGACGCUGAGUUGUCCCUGCCCACUUUUGUCAACUCGGUUCCCGGCAGGGUCUUGCCUAGUGUGGUUCUGGACAAGGAGGGCGCGUAGUCGUUUCUAAGCUAUGCCAAACGGUUUACAGAAACCAAGGCCAUUUUGGUAAAUACAUUCAUGGAGCUAGAGUCACAUGCUCUUGAUUCUCUUUCUGAUGGUGAAACCCCGCCUUUGUAUCCUGUGGGUCCCAUCUUGAAUCUGAUGAGUGAUGAUACCCAAUCGGGUUCAGAGCAAGCGCAACAGAAGUCGGAUAUAUUGGAGUGGCUAGAUGAUCAGCCUCCUUCGUCAGUGGUGUUCUUGUGCUUUGGGAGCAUGGGAAGCUUUGGUGAGGACCAGGUGAGGGAGAUAGCGUGGGGGCUGGAGCGGAGUGGGCUCCGGUUCUUGUGGUCUCUACGCCAGCCCCCACCAAAGGAGACCGUUGUGUCCCUGGUGACUAUUCGAAUCCUAAGGGGGUCUUACCGGAAGGGUUCCUAUUUCGGACGGCUGCGAUGGGAAAGGUCAUAGGGUGGGCUCCGCAGGUGGCGAUCUUGGCCCACCCGGCAGUAGGAGGGUUCGUAUCCCACUGCGGGUGGAAUUCCACGCUUGAGAGCCUAUGGUUCGGGGUGCCGAUGGCCACGUGGCCGGUGUACGCGGAGCAACAAUUAAAUGCCUUUGAAUUGGUAAGGGAGUUGGGUUUGGCAGUGGCAAUUAAGAUGGAUUAUAGGACGGACACCCAAGUGGUGGUGAGUGCGGAGGAGAUAGAGAGAGGGAUAAGGGAGGUGAUGGGGCAUGAUAGUGAUGUAAGGAAGAGGGUGAAAGAGAUGAGUGAUAAGAGCAAAAAAGCCUUGAUGGAAGGUGGCUCCUCGCACUCUUCAUUGGGACAUUUUCUUGAUCAGAUUUUCCUUUGA
rnacentral:lncRNA from 1 species